UUUUCUUCUACAGAAGACUUAUCAAAGGUGCUCUAUUAAAACAGUUGAAAGGUUAAAUAAAGUAAAAUACAUAAAAGCAUGAAAAUCAAAAAUUCCCAAAAGUUGUCCAAAUACGACUUGUGCAAUCUGUACCUUUGGGUUAACAAACUAUUAGGGAACAAACAUUUAACUUAUGUGGGAGGGGGUAUAUUUUUUAUUCUGAAUUCUGGUCCCAAAUUUGAUAGAACCAGAUGCUCCGCAGAGCGCAGCUUUAUACGACCGCAGAGGUUGAACCCUGAACGGUUGGGGCAAGUAUGGACACAACAUUCAAGCUGGAUUUAGCUCUAAAUUUGGAUUGUGAUUAAAUAGUUGACACAGCAUAGGUUUCUGACACAGAAUGAAUGUGGUCUAAUGAACUUAAAAUAUUGUUUUGCCUUUGAGCAAUUCACUAUGCUGUUGAAUAUCAAUCCUCUCAAAAAAAGGUUUGAAGAAAUUUUCUUUUUAUUUAUGAAAUCUGAAAUGAGAAAAAAUUACCCCCC
rnacentral:lncRNA from 1 species